AUUCAAGAAAAUUUAAUUGUGAAUUCAUAGAUGUGGUCGUGAAUUCAAGAAAAAUGAAAACUUGAACAUAUACACAUUAUCAAAUCGAAGCAUCAAACGAUAAACCACAGAAACUAACUCACAUAUCAGUAUUUUUUUUUCAUUUCAAUUAUCCUUCUCAAAUGGUAAAAACUAAAAUCAGAAGGCGCAAUACAACUUUUUGUUGGAUUUCAUAUACUAACAGUAACAACUCCAACCUCAAUUCCAUCGACAAAAAUCAUCCAAAAACAAACAUCAUUUUCCCAGAUUCAAAUCAACUUCGUAAAUUUCGCAUCUCACUAAGUCACCAAUGGAGAAAUACGAGCAAUAUGAGCGGGUUUUCAACCACUUCGAUUCGGAAAUUAAGCCUCCACCGACGAAGAGGAACACAAAUAACAACCGCCUCCGCCGUCGAAGCUUAAACCACCGGCUAAGCUAGCUAUAUCUGUGGAAGAAAACGACAACGAUUUUCUACCCAAAUUCGCCCCCAAACGCGGCAGAUUCUUCAAUUCUCCCCCGCUGCCCAAAUCGUCUAUCAUCAAUUCAAUCCCACCGCCAAAAUCCCAAUCCUCCCCUAACCCUAAGCCCCAAUCGGGAGCGGAGCCCAAAUUCAGAAUUUGGGCGAGAGGUAAGGCGGAGGCGGUGGCUCAGCGCCAUGUCCGUCCGCCGGGAAGAGAGGGGUUUCACAGAGGCGAUGGUGGUGGACGUGUGUCGGCUGCUGCCAUCGGAGAGAGGAAGGCCGAUAUCUGGAGACCGAUGGCGGCAGAGAGCCGUUUUCGCCGGAAAUCGGAGAGAAAUAGGGGCAGUAGGGGUGUCGUGAGUAGAGGGAGGGUGGCGGCGUCUCCGCCGUCGCCGUGGAAGGAGGCGGCGCCGCGUGGGAUCGGCGUCGAUUUCCAGAUCUGAGGGAGUCGGGCGAGAGAGAGAGAGAGAGAGAAAUCAGCGCCGCCUGAGAUCCGACGGCGGCGUCAUGGACGAAGGCGUCGGCCGUUCACCGGAGUUCGGAAGAGCAACUGGACGCGGCCGAGGCGGCGCCGCUUGGAAAAGAGAAAUCCAGAGAGAGAGAGAGAAUAGAGUGAGAGAGUGAGAGAAAGAGUAGAGCGAGAGAGACGAGAGCAGAGAGUGAGAGAAAGAGUAGAAGU
rnacentral:lncRNA from 1 species